rnacentral:rRNA from 1 species
AGAGUUUGAUCCUGGCUCAGAUUGAACGCUGGCGGCAUGCCUUACACAUGCAAGUCGAACGGUAACAGCACUUCGGUGGCUGACGAGUGGCGAACGGGUGAGUAAUACAUCGGAACGUGCCCGAGAGUGGGGGAUAACGCAGCGAAAGCUGUGCUAAUACCGCAUACGAUCUACGGAUGAAAGCAGGGGACCGCAAGGCCUUGCGCUCAUGGAGCGGCCGAUGGCAGAUUAGGUAGUUGGUGGGAUAAAAGCUUACCAAGCCGACGAUCUGUAGCUGGUCUGAGAGGACGACCAGCCACACUGGGACUGAGACACGGCCCAGACUCCUACGGGAGGCAGCAGUGGGGAAUUUUGGACAAUGGGCGAAAGCCUGAUCCAGCCAUGCCGCGUGCAGGAUGAAGGCCUUCGGGUUGUAAA